AUGUGCAACAGGACAGGGAUGUGCCAUGGGAUGAGUGUGCAAGAGACAGUGCAAUGGGACAUGUGUGCACAAUGGGGUGUGCAAUGGGGCAUGGGCGUGCAGUGGGUUGUGCAACGGGGAACGGGCGUGCAAGAGUGUGCAGUGGGGUUUGCACACUCAUUAGCAUGCAGGGGACACGGGGUACAAGUGCUCACACGCACUUUGCACAAGAGUCUGCGUUUGAGCAUUGUGCUGAGCGUGCAAGGAUCACGUGCGUGUGCAAACACCCCUGUCCCUUGCACCAGUGUGCACACUUCACCUUUACUCAUUUGCUUUUCCCACUGGCCCUCACAAAUGCUCAGACAUGACCCUUGCACACUCACAUCUGCUUGCACAAGCAUUCACACGCGCAUGUGCCCUUGCACACAUACCCCUCCUUACACACACACAAGUCCCUGGACACACACAUACCCCUUUGCACGCACACACGGACAUGUGCACACUCACGCACGCGUGUGUGCACCAUUAUUUGUGCGCACACGCCACCGUGGCACACCCCCAUGCACACGUGUCCCUUUCAAAUCUCUUGCACACUCAACCCGUUGUGCACCUGCCUUCAUUGCACACACACACGUGUCCCUGUGCACACACAUGCCUUGCACACGCAUCUCUCCAUGUACUUGUGUUCCUUGCACACACACACAUGCCCCUUUGCAUGCUCCCAUUGCACACUCCCAACCCUUGCACACACACUCCGUGCACACUCGUGCUCCUUGCACACAUUCCACCCUUUCACACUCACACCCCUUGAGGACUCACUCCUUGCACACUCAUCGUCCUCGCACGUGGAUGUGUCCUAUGCACAUUCUCACUGCUUGCACACUCACACCCCGUGCACGCACCCGCAACCUUGUACACUCACAACUCUUGCACACUCAUCCCUCACUCAUUGCACAACCACUCAUUGCACACUCACCCUAUUUGCACACCAGGUCUCUUGCACACUCACUCCCCGUGCACACUCACACCCCUUGCCCACUCUCAUCCCUGUCCCCUGCAUCCCAUGCAAACUUCACCCUUGCACACUCAUCAUGUGCACACGCACCACCCGUGCACACUCAUCUCUUUCACACUUCCCCCUUGCACACCCACAUCCCACGCUCUCCUUCACGCCUCCUUUGCUCACCCCCAUCCCUUGCACACCUGUGCCCCUUGCACACUCACUCCUCUUCCGACCCACACGCCCCUUGCACACUCACAUCUCCUCAGACCCCCACACACCUUGCACAUCCACACCCCUUGCACACCCACAGACCUUGCACAAUCACUCCUCUUCCAACCCCCACGCCCCCUGCACACUCACUUUUCCUCAGACCCCCCCACCCCUUGCACACCUGUGCCACUUGCACACUCACACCUCUUCCGACCUCCACACCCCUUGCACUUUCACUUCUUCUCAUACCCGCGCACCCCUUGCACACCUGCACCCCUUGCACACCCGCACCCCUUGCACAUUCACUCCACUUCUGACACCCACACCCGUGGCACACUCACUUCUCCUCAGACCCCCAUGCCCCCUGCACACCAGUGCCCCUUGCACACUCACUGCUCCUACCCCCCAUGCCCCAUGCACACCCACACCCCGUGCACACCAGUGCCCCUUGCACACUCACUCCUCUU
ensembl:lncRNA